GAUGAAGAACGUAGCGAAAUGCGAUAAGUAGUGUGAAUUGCAGAAUUCAGUGAAUCAUCGAGUCUUUGAACGCACAUUGCGCCCCCUGGUAUUCCGGGGGGCAUGCCUGUCCGAGCGUCAUUGCUGCCCUCAAGCACGGCUUGUGUGUUGGGCCCCGUCCUCCGAUUCCGGGGGACGGGCCCGAAAGGCAGCGGCGGCACCGCGUCCGGUCCUCGAGCGUAUGGGGCUUUGUCACCCGCUCUGUAGGCCCGGCCGGCGCUUGCCGAUCAACCCAAAUUUUUAUCCAGGUUGACCUCGGAUCAGGUAGGGAUACCCGCUGAACUUAAGCAUAUCAAUAAGCGGAGGA
rnacentral:misc_RNA from 1 species